rnacentral:lncRNA from 1 species
CAUGGUUUCAUAUGGCCUAUAUCUUGUAUAGCCCUCAAUCAUGGUUACCAUGCAAUACAUGGAUGGUUGUGAUUGACUACUUGGGUCUCUCUAGUUCAAAGUUCAACUAGAGCAGAACCAAAUUUAGGAGCAAUUGGUAAAGGACUGGUGGCUUCACCUCAAAUUCCAACACAAUGUUGUAAUUGCCCAGGUACAUAUUCGAACCAUAAAUUUUUGAGGAAAUUAGGAGGAAGCAGUAAGCGUCCCCCUAUUUUAUUGAGAGAUAUAGGACUAC